AGCACUUGAACGAUUAGGCAAAGAGAGGGCCAGUCUGAGAUUUUGGGCCAGGGGAGCUGAAGAUCGAUAGGAGGCUGACUUGCAUUAGUUCAGAAGCUGGAUCAUGGCAGUUUGCUUGAAAAAGGCCUGAGCAUGUUGAGCCUGAUGAACGACCACCUGCAUCAUGGGGAUCCAGACCAGCUCUCGGACUCUGCAGGCCUGUGCUGUCCACCAAGAAGGGGCAUCCAGCUAAAUUGGGCAUUGGUGACCUUGCAGGGGAAAUGGAAGCCCUGGCUGUCACAGCACCAGAGGGAGCAGCAAAGGAUGCAACAGCAUCACAAGACGAGGUGGAAGCAGUAGAAAAGGCAGAAGCAACAGGGGAGAUGGAAAUCCCAGAGGGAGCAGGCCCGUGUGGAAAGGCGAUCACCCCUGAAAGAGCAGCGGCAGGGCAGGUGGAGGCAGAAGCGGCAAUGGUAGUGGUGGAAGUAUCAGAAGAUCUGGAAGGAGAAAGAGUUGCUGAAGCAUUUGCCAGAGCAGCAGAAAGGAUAGCAAAAUCCGAAGUGGCUAAGGUGCUGCAAUCAGCAAUAGCUGAGCUAAAAGAGAAGGAGGAGCGCAUGGCUAAAGCCGAGGAACAGCUCUCAACAGGAGGAGAAGGAAUGGGUAAAAGAUGGUGAGGUAAAAUGAAAUGAAGGAGAGGUGGCAUUCAGGAUCAUAUCUAAAGGGGUGCUUUGUACCCUAACAGUAUGUGCCAUUGACCGCUCCUGGAGUGCAACAGGACUGCCAAUUACAUCCCUUUUGUGAGUGC
rnacentral:lncRNA from 1 species